ensembl:lncRNA
AACAGAAGCGUGUCUUAAUUUUAACCCUUCUGUUCCUCACUCAAAACCUUCCAUUUCAACUUUUUGGUGAAGGAAAGAAAAAUGUGCAGUGGUCUCUUAAUUUUAUCCGGAGCUGUAUGUGUAUAUAUAAAUACACGUGCGCACACACAAACACCGUAGCAGUCAAGAGUUUGGACACACCUUCUCAUUCAAGAGUAUUUCUUUAAUUUUACUAUUUACCACAUUGUAGAAUAAUAGUAAAAACUAUGAAACUACACACGUGGAACCAUUUAGUAACCAAAAAAGUGUUAAACAAAUCAAAAUCAAAAUCCAUUUCCAUUUUAAUUUAAGCAGUCCAUUGACUUGAUAACAGCUUCUCACCCUCUUGGAAUUCUCUCAACCAGCUUUACGAGGUAGUGACCUGGAAGGCUUUUCCAACAGCCUUGAAGGAAUCGUCGUAUAUGCUGAGCACUCUGUGACCCAACUCAUUAGGGGGUGAGGAGGGGUGGUUGUGGAGGCCAGGUCAUCUGAUGCAGCAUCAUCAAUCACCUUCUUGGUCAAAUAUCCCUUACACAGACAGAGGUGUGUUUUGGUCAAAUAUCCCUUAAACAGACAGAGGUGUGUUUGGUCAAAUAUCCCUUAAACAGAUGGAGGUGUGUUUUGGUCAAAUAUCCCUUAAACAGAUGGAGGUGUGUUUUGGUCAAAUAUCCCUUACACAGAUGGAGGUGUGUUUUGGUCAAAUAUCCCUUAAACAGAUGGAGGUGUGUUUUGGUCAAAUAUCCCUUAAACAGAUUGAGGUGUGUUUGGUCAAAUAUCCCUUACACAGAUGGAGGUGUGUUUUGGUCAAAUAUCCCUUACACAGAUGGAGGUGUGUUUUGGUCAAAUAUCCCUUACACAGAUGGAGGUGUGUUUUGGUCAAAUAUCCCUUCCACAGACAGAGGUGUGUUUUGCAGAGAUCAUCACAUGCAGACAUCAUAGGUUCACCUGCGCCGCGUUUCACAAAGAUGUGGCUGUUGUAACCAAAAAUCUUCAAUUUAGACUCAUCAGACCGAACAGAUUUUACUGGCAGUCUACUGGCAACUUCUUGUGCUUAUAGGCCCAAGCAAGUUGCUUCUUAUUAGUUGUGUCCUUCAGUAGUGGUUUCUUUGCAGCAAUUCGUCCAUAAAGUUGUUGAGAUGUGUCAGUUACUUGAAGUCUGUUAAGCAUUUAUAUGGGCUGCAAUCUGAGGUGCAUUUAAUUGCCGAUUUCUGAGGCUGGUGACUCUAAUGAACUCAUCCUCUGCAGCAGAUGUAACUCUGGGUUUCCUUGCCUGUGGCAGUCCUCAUGAGAGACAGUUUCAUCAUAGCGCUUGUUGGUUUUUGCAACUGAAGAUUCUUGAAAUUUCUAGGAUUGACCGACCUACAUGUCUUAAAUAAUGAUGGGCUGUUGUUUCUCUUAGUUUAUUUGAGCUGUUCUUGAUAUAAUAUGGAUUACUACAGUACAGACAGAAUGGUGGUCUGUGUACCAACCCAACCUUGUCACAACACAAAUUAUUGGGUCAAAAACAUUAAGGAAAUAAAUUCCACAAAUGAACUUUUAACGAGCCACACCUGUAAUUUGAAAUGCAUUCCAGAUGACUACCUCAUGAAGUUGGUUGACAGAAUGCAAAGAGUGCAAAGCUGUCAUCAAGGCAAAGGGUGGCUACUUUAAAGAAUCUACAUGAAAUGUGUUUUGAUCUGUUAAACACUUUUUUUGGAACACAACCAAUGUGUAUGUUUAUAUGUAUACCUAUAUGUGUAUAUAUAUAUACAUAUAUGUGCAUAAGUGUGUGUGUAUGACUCUUGGCAUGCCCAAUCAACUCAAAUAUGGCCGAAGGUUCCACUUGAAAUCAUUCAAUUUGUUUUGCGCAGUUUGUUUCUGGGUGUAUUUCAUUCCAAUACCCACAAUCCACUGUGCCACGCUCCAAGAGGGUGCCUUUCAGUAAUCUACCUUUGCCUCUUCUUAAGGUCUCCUUUCCCUCAUUCACACUGAUCUGAGUGAACAGGGCAGGUGAAAAGCUAGGCCUGCAUCACACUACUUUAACCAAUCAAAUUUUGUCCGAUAAGUGCAAAUGAAAGAGUGGAGACAAAGGGCUCAAUUCAGACUUGGGAUAAAUUUACUUAAUAUGAACUUAGUCUAUUAAAAUGGGGAUUUAAGUGAAACAAUAUGUGUUCUUUAUCUCAAGUCCAUUUACCUGAAGUCUGAAUAGGACCCACUGGAAGACUGCAGAUGAAUGAAGCACCCCUGAUAUGACUUCCUCUACCUUAGGACCACACAGACUACCUUAGGACCACACAACGACUUCAAAGCCAUGACAAGGGGUUAAUCGAUU